CUCCAUCAGAGUUCACUGUGAGGAGUGAUGAAAUCGAGAUGAGUGUGGAAGGAUGCAUGCUCAGGAGGAAGUUGGCUGGUCAUAUGCUAGAUACAAAAAAGUGACAAACUGCUAUGUGUGGUGGCGUAUACCUACAAUCCUAGAGCUUGGAAAGCUCAGAUAAGAGGAGUGCUACAAGUUCAAGUCAGCCUGGGAUCCAUAGCAAAAAGCUGCCUCAAAUAAAACAAAACACCUCCCAAACCAAACCAAACCAAACCAAACUAAAAAGGAAGUGUCAAACUGGUUUUUGGUUCAUGAUACAGUAAAACC
rnacentral:lncRNA from 1 species